UACGAAGGGGGCGAGCGUUAUUCGGAAUCACUGGGCGUAAAGCGUGCGUAGGCUGUUCUGCAAGUCAGGAGUGAAAGCCCAAGGCUCAACCUUGGAAGCGCUCUUGAAACUGCAGGACUUGAAUUUGGGAGAGGAUAGCGGAAUCGUCAGUGUAGCAGUGAAAUGCGUAGAUAUUGACAGGAACACCAGUGGCGCAAGCGGCUAUCUGGACCAACAUUGACGCUGAGGCACGAAAGCGUGGGGAUCAAACAGG
rnacentral:rRNA from 1 species